AUUGAACGCUGGCGGCAGGCCUAACACAUGCAAGUCGAGCGAGCGGCGGACGGGUGAGUAAUGUCUGGGAAACUGCCUGAUGGAGGGGGAUAACUAAUGGAAACGGUAGCUAAUACCGCAUCCCGUCAGAUGUGCCCCGAUGGGGUUAGCUAGUAGGUGGGGUAACGGCGCACCUAGGCGACGAUCCCUAGCUGGUCUUAGAGGAUGACCAGCCACACUGGAACUGAGAAACGGUCCAGACUCCUACGGGAGGCAGCAGUGGGGAAUAUUGCACAAUGGGCGCAAGACUGAUGCAGCCAUGCCGCGUGUGUGAAGAAGGCCUUCGGGUUGUAAAGCACUUUCAGCGGGGAGGCGUUACCCGCAGAAGAAGCACCGGCUAACUCCGUGCCAGCAGCCGCGGUAAUUC
rnacentral:rRNA from 1 species